rnacentral:rRNA from 1 species
UACGUAGGGCGCAAGCGUUGUCCGGAAUUAUUGGGCGUAAAGAGCUCGUAGGCGGCCUGUUGCGUCCGCUGUGAAAUCCCGGGGCUUAACCCCGGGCGUGCAGUGGAUACGGGCAGGCUGGAGGCAGGCAGGGGAGACUGGAAUUCCUGGUGUAGCGGUGGAAUGCGCAGAUAUCAGGAGGAACACCGGUGGCGAAGGCGGGUCUCUGGGCCGUUACUGACGCUGAGGAGCGAAAGCGUGGGGAGCGAACAGG